UACGAACUGUGCGAACGUUAUUCGGAAUCACUGGGCUUACAGGGUGCGUAGGCGGCUUGUUAAGUAGGGUGUGAAAGCCCCCGGCUCAACCGGGGAAUUGCGCCCUAAACUGGCGGGCUGGAGUGAGAUAGGGGUGUGUGGAACUUCCGGUGGAGCGGUGAAAUGUGUUGAUAUCGGAAGGAACGCCGGUGGCGAAAGCGACACACUGGAUCUUGUCUGACGCUGAGGCACGAAAGCCAGGGGAGCGAACGGGG
rnacentral:rRNA from 1 species